rfam:Sarcophilus harrisii ctg7180001699750, whole genome shotgun sequence.
AUUAAGAUGGCAGAGCCGGUAAUUGCAUAAAGCUUAAGCCUUUACUCCCAGAGGUUCAAACCCUCUUCUUAAUA